AGAGUAUACCUGUCCACACGUACUCCCAAGAAUCUGUAUGCACCUCUGGUGAUGUCUUCAUGUUGUAACUUCCCUCAUAACUGAAACUGUAAACCCAGAGAAGCCCUGAAGAACCUGUGACUAGUGGUGUUUCAAACCCUGAAAAGGAGUUUCACAACUAUUUUUUUCCAACCAAUAGGAUUUUGUACUAUGCCUGUGGUGCUAACAGAAGAAGGCAGAAGAAGCCUAAUCACCUCUGGGAAGGUGAUGCUUCAAGAUGCUUGGAAUCUAACCUGGUUGGCUCUCUCUCAUAUGAACCAUGGCCAUGUAUUUGCACUGGGCAUGUCCUGCCAACUGGAACCAGAAGCCAGCAUGAGGGAACAGGAACCUUCUCAGAGUCCUGCAUCCUUGCUAGGGACUUCAACCUUCUCCAGAGAAUCACAACUUUCCUAGGGGCCUAUAACUUUUCCAGAGGUCCAGAGCCUUCCCAGGGACCAACAACUCUCUCAGGGACCCAUUAACCACUGAGGGAACUGAAGCCUUCCUGGGAGUCUGGAACCUAGCCUGAGACCUGGAACUUUCCUGAAAUAUAUGACUGAAACACAAUUUCUGCCUACCUGGGCAUAACGGUGUGUGUGUGUGUGUGUGUGUGUGUGUGUAUGUCUAGGAGUGUACAUGCAUGUGUGUAUGGAAAAGAAGGAAAGUCAUUUCAAAAAUAUGAAAAUUGUUUCCAGAAAAAGAUGCUGUAGAGACUACAAACACUCCACUCAUUAACAGAUCUUUUUCUCUCUAUGUGAUUAAGAUUCUUCUAGAUGGAAACUUAGUCAAACAAAUGUAUCACGUUCCUGAUUCAGUCCAGCCCAGUGGCAUAGAGGGAUUUAUGGUGACAAAGUCACCCUAACUGAGAGCAUAAUGAUGCAGACCAGCACAGGUUUGCUAGGAUAACUAUGAUUGCAUGGGGUAGGGGGUGUCUCAGGCUGGGGCCAGUGCUGGAGUGAGAGGAGGUGCCCACCUUGUUUAGUUCCCAACAUGCUGGAUCGACAGCAGCCUCUGUCUUCUGAUCUCCCUCAUCUCUGAAAGCAGAGAUGGGACUUUGGUAUCCAAAACCUCAUAUCUAACAUUCUAGCUCUGUAGCUAGGAACCCAACCAUCCAUACUUUUUAAAGUGACAUCUUAAUUGUUCCCUUUAUAGAUUUUAAUUCACAUUCCACUGUGCAGCUCCAGACCUCUCCCAGAUGAGCAAAUCCUGCUCAGCAAUGAUACUGGCUGAGAAGUAGAAUUCAAUCAUGACUAAAGGAGAAAGUCAGGUAUGAAACAGAGCCACUGGGAUUUGGUGAACACAGUAGAAGGACUUUAUGGGAGCAUCAGAGUAUUAACCAGGUUUGAUGGCCUUUUGUGUUACCUAGACUCCUGAGUAAGAUUAAUGUCUGUUUCUCACCGCAUGGAUGCUAUCAUAUUCAUUAAACAAACAAGUGUGUUUUCUGA